rnacentral:rRNA from 1 species
CUACGGGGGGCAGCAGUGGGGAAUAUUGGACAAUGGGCGAAAGCCUGAUCCAGCAAUGCCGCGUGAGUGGUGAAGGCCUUAGGGUUGUAAAGCUCUUUUACCAGGGAUGAUAAUGACAGUACCUGGAGAAUAAGCUCCGGCUAACUCCGUGCCAGCAGCCGCGGUAAUACGGAGGGAGCUAGCGUUGUUCGGAAUUACUGGGCGUAAAGCGCACGUAGGCGGCUUUUUAAGUCAGGGGUGAAAUCCCGGGGCUCAACCCCGGAACUGCCCUUGAAACUGGGAAGCUAGAAUCUUGGAGAGGCGAGUGGAAUUCCGAGUGUAGAGGUGAAAUUCGUAGAUAUUCGGAAGAACACCAGUGGCGAAGGCGACUCGCUGGACAAGUAUUGACGCUGAGGUGCGAAAGCGUGGGGAGCAAACAGGAUUAGAUACCCCUGUAGUC